rnacentral:rRNA from 1 species
GACGAACGCUGGCGGCGUGCUUAACACAUGCAAGUCGAACGGAAAGGCCCUGCUUUUGUGGGGUGCUCGAGUGGCGAACGGGUGAGUAACACGUGAGUAACCUGCCCUUGACUUUGGGAUAACUUCAGGAAACUGGGGCUAAUACCGGAUAGGAGCUCCUGCUGCAUGGUGGGGGUUGGAAAGUUUCGGCGGUUGGGGAUGGACUCGCGGCUUAUCAGCUUGUUGGUGGGGUAGUGGCUUACCAAGGCGUUGACGGGUAGCCGGCCUGAGAGGGUGACCGGCCACAUUGGGACUGAGAUACGGCCCAGACUCCUACGGGAGGCAGCAGUGGGGAAUAUUGCACAAUGGGCGGAAGCCUGAUGCAGCAACGCCGCGUGCGGGAUGACGGCCUUCGGGUUGUAAACCGCUUUCGCCUGUGACGAAGCGUGAGUGACGGUAAUGAGUAAAGAAGCACCGGCUAACUACGUG